GGAAAAUGACGUGGCACUGAAGAGGGGACUUAGAGAGACAGGGCCAGUGGGUGGAGGAGGAGAGGACGUGCCGGGAAAAGAAUGCAGAAAGGAGAUUUUUUUUGGCCACAGAGUUUUUGCUAAAAGCAGCUAGGAAGCCCCACGGCUCCAGUGUGCGUGAACUCCUGGUAAUUUCCUUGGGGAAUCCCGCCUCAGAGAACCUCUACCCCGAGAAUUAGGAGGAAGCUGAGCUAGGCUGACUUGAGGAAAGAGAGCUGGAGGAGCGGGAUGGAGUUUCACUUACAUCCAGGCUGGAAUGCAGUGGCGUGAUCUUGGCUCACUGGAACCUCCACCUCCUGGGUUCAAGCAAUUCUCGUGCUUCAGCCUCCCGAGUAGCUGGGAUUAUAGGUACGCUCUUUCAUGCCCAGCUAAUUUUUGUAUUUGUAGUACAGAUGGGGUUUUGCCAUGUUGGCCAGGCUGGUCUUGAACUCCUGGCCUCAAGUGAUCUGCCUGCCUCAGCCUCCCAAAGUGCUGGGAUUACAGGUGUGAGCCACCAUGCCCAACCUCAUUUAUUUAUUCGUGUGUGUGUGUGUGUGUGUGUGUGUGUGUGUGUGUGUAUAACUGCCUAAUAGCUUAUACCUUAAGAGAGCCUUAAAUAGUAUAAGAAAGAAAAGAUAAACAAAGGGCAAGACUGUCACAUCUGUGUGGCUACAAAAGGAAAAUAUUCCUUACACAGCAUAUUUCCUACAUGAUUGACAAAGCUAGCAAUCUGCAUUCAAAAGCAUGUAGCCCAUGUACCACAGGCUACAUACAGGCUCUCAGGCUAAUGAUCAGAAUAACAAUUAUGAGUAACUUUUCCCGAAUGCUUACUAAGUGCCAGGCACUACACUAAGUGUUGUUUUGUUUUGUUUUGUUUUUGAGACAGAGUCUCACUGUGUCACCCAGGCUGGAGUGCAGUGGUGAGAUCUUGGAUCACUGCAACCUCCUCCCAGGUUCAAGCGAUUCUCCUGCCUCAGCCACCCAAGUAGCUGGGAUUACAGGCGUGUACCACCAUGCCCAGCUACUUUUUGUGUUUUUAGUAGAGACCGGGUUUCACUAUGUUGGCCAGGAUGGUCUAAAACUCCUGACCUAAGGUGAUCCACCUGCCUCAGCCUCCCAAAGUGCUGGGAUGACAGGCAUGAGCCACUGUGCCCGGCCUUACACUAAGUGUUUUGCAUAAUGUUAUAUGCCUUGUUUAAUCCUCAUUUUUCGAAGGAGGCUCCUGAGACUCACAGAAGUGAGCUGCACAGAGUCAUGUGAUUGAUAAGUGGUUAAGCUGAGGUUCAAAUACAGGCCACUGAAUUUCAAACUAAAAACCCACAAUCAUUCCAGGCACCACCUUAAAGUUCUACUUAUAAGGGGCCAGCGAGUGGCACACGGCCCAGGACGAAAAAGUGAGUGAGGAUAUUCAAACACAAGUCACAUCACGACAUGGCAAAAACAGAAAAACUUUGAUGUUCUCCAUCUGUUCUUCAGACAGAGAGCUCAAACAUAAGAGAGUAGGGCUCAACUUUAAGACAGAAACUGCCCAGCACCAUCUGCAGGUGGAUUGCAUUGUUUGGGGAGGCAGUCACAUGACCCAGAUCUGCUUCCUGCCUCUGCUUGCAGAAGUCUAACACUCUGAGGGCUAACACCAAUCCUGCUUGCAGGAUUCUAACACUCUGAGGCUCCGAGGUUGUUAAAGUCCCUGUCUCCCACACUACCAACCCCACUGUCAGCUUGACCAUGAGUGAAUGCCUUCACCAAUGUAUAGAAAGGACCUUGCUAAUAGGAAAAAAGAUGAGCCUGGAGCCUAAACAGGAAGGCUUUCUCUUCCACGGAUUGGAAGCACCGCUAAAGAAGCUGGCUGACUUGUGAGGUUCGGGGAUAACGAAGUAUGAAUGUACAGCUCCGGGUACUGUGCUUGGAGCAUAUGAAACAUGCAACACAUGACUAGUGUUGUUAUACAGUUUUCAUUCCCACAGUCUCUAACAAAAUAUAGUCAUACGUCUUUUUUUAAAAAGACGUGUUGGAUUCUAGUGCUGAGAAGAAGAGAAGCUACCACUAAUAUAGCAUGAGAGAGUGGCAGACAGAGAGAUCCCUGGGGACCCACAUUUUUCAGGGAGAAACCCCAAUUCUUUCUGCCCUUCAAGCAGUGGCACACAGCAGAAAGUGAAAUCAUUCAUUGGACAGCUUGAUUGGAAACUGUGAUUUAUAUUACAGGGAUCUUUUUGCCACAAUAGCCUAAUCUAAAUCAGGCCAUUAUUUCAUACAAGCCAUUAUUUCAUAAAGUUUUACAUUUUAACCUGUAACUCAGGUACCAAGUUUCCUCAAGCUACACAUUCCCACUCAUCAACAAUAUCAUUGGUUUGACAUUAUACAUACAAAAAGAGCAAUUUUUUAAGAAAAACAGUUAUAAGCUGAUACAUCAUUUUCAACACACCCUAUAUAUAAAGUUGCUGUGUUUCAGAGGUUAUUUGGAUUAUUUUAAUCUAUUGAAAAAAAAAGCUAACACGACACUUUUGGACAGUUCAGCCUCCUUUUUCUUUGCUUUGAUGGUGUUCUUUUCUCCUUUUCUCCCUCUAGUUUUUAUCUCUGUUCAAAAGCAAGAUUUUAAAUCCUGUAAGUAGAAAUUGGAACAACUUCUGGGCUUUGCACAGCACCUAGCUAGUUCUUCAGGAUAUUCUUUGUUCUAUUUUUUAACAUACAUUUUUAAAGGUAAUAAUAAACUAAACUUUGACCUUUAAAAUCUUCAAAUAAAUCAAUCAGCAGAGAAAUAACUAGGUAAAGAGCAGAAUGGAAAACAAUCAAACAAGGCUGGAAAGUCAUAGAAAAUUCCUAAAAUUGUGUGUUUGUAUGUGUGUGUGUGUGUGUGUGCAUGUUGUUGUUCUUAUUGUUCAUUUGUAUAUGUGUGAUUUGAGCAACAUUUGAGAAAAAAAAAAUAAGAAAAUGAGGAA
rnacentral:lncRNA from 1 species